UUUAGAGUCAAAGCAGAUAGAAAACUGAAUUAAAAAAAGAAAAAGUUCUGCUAGAUCUGGUUUACUCUUUUCUGAAACUUUGCAUGUCUCUUCUCUCUUGCUCUAUCAUGUCUCCUUUUCCAUUUUCAAUUUAUCUCAGCCUAGAUACACCAAGCCUUAAAUGAAAUUAAUGUUUUUCUUUUCUCUGCCUUAACACCUGCCUGUCAUCACACUACCCGCCCCAAGUUUGGAGCAUUUGCAUUGUUUACAUUGAUUGGUAUUGAAAGCUGCUCUCCUGAUCUGUUCUCCAUCCAGCAUUGCAUCCUUGUACCUUAUUCCCCUGAUGUUGCUGCCUCCUUGUCCUUGUGCACCACCCUUCCCCUGAGAAUGAUCCCCCCACUCUCGCAUUGGGCUCCCUUUGCUCGUUGGAGGUGUAAUGGUGCUGUGGCAAACCCAGCACCCAAAUGCUCUUUGUGGCCUUUUGCAGGUGUGAGCACGCUGGGAACUCUUGGGUUUGGGAGCAGUUUCAGGAACUCCUUGUCUUCUCCAGCCACAACUGACCUUGGGAGGACUCAAUGAUUGUAAACCUGAGCACAGAGAGCGCUGCCUUGUGACGUACCAUCUUCAUCCGUCACGUCCUGUGUAUGGAGCACUGGCCCAGGAGACCUCACCUACAAGUUCAUCAGAGACUGUGCAGUGGGGGACUUGAGCAAGACUGCUCAGGACAUCACAAGAUUUACCAGCAAGAUGUCCAGGACUCAAGGAAGUGGGAUCAGGCCUCAUCUUUGGAAACUGUCUCUGCUGGGGAACAGUCUGGCAAGGCCAACAGCAGCCAGGAAUCUCACUGUUGUCAUUCUCAUUACACACAUCCUACCAACUGUUUGUCAUCUUGCCACCAAACAAGCUCCUAAGGCCCAGUGAUGCUGUUCAGAUGAAUCCCUGGCCACCUGGCACCUGGUCCUGCAUUCUCCUGAAGAGCACGUGGGUAUGAACACCAUGUCCUAGGAGGAUAACAGGAGAUGGUUUACCUAGAGAGGUAACCAGAUUCUGUCUAAGAAACCUCAGUAUUUCCAAUAACAAACCUAGGAGCAGCUGGCACUGGGUUUUCUGGAACACUUUGUAUGCAUUUUAAUUGCCAGUGGUCUGAAGACUUUGGAUGAACCUCAUUCUAAACUUCAGGCUCUCGUGUCUCGAGGCCAUCAGAUGCACCAGGUGCUGAAGAGAUUGAGCAGCGAAUGCAUUUGAGGCCAUGCAAGCACCACAGAACUGGCUCCUGGUCUGCAUGUUGUCCAUCUGGCAUAGCAUUUCUUUUGUGAGGGUAGGGCCUUUGGCCAAUUUAU